rnacentral:rRNA from 1 species
AUUGAACGCUGGCGGCAUGCCUAACACAUGCAAGUCGAACGGUAACAGGCCCUUCGGGGCGCUGACGAGUGGCGGACGGGUGAGUAAUGCUUAGGAAUCUGCCUAGUAGUGGGGGAUAACCCGGGGAAACUCGGGCUAAUACCGCAUACGUCCUACGGGAGAAAGCGGGGGACCUUCGGGCCUCGCGCUAUUAGAUGAGCCUAAGUCCGAUUAGCUAGUUGGUAGGGUAACGGCCUACCAAGGCGACGANCGGUAGCUGGUCUGAGAGGACGACCAGCCACACUGGGACUGAGACACGGCCCCAGACUCCUACGGGAGGCAGCAGUGGGGAAUAUUGGACAAUGGGCGCAAGCCUGAUCCAGCGAUGCCGCGUGUAUGAAGAAGGCCUGCGGGUUGGUAAAGCACUUUCAGUUGU